rnacentral:misc_RNA from 1 species
AACUUUCAACAAUGGAUCACUUGGCUCUCGCAUCGAUGAAGAACGCAGCGAAUUGCGAUAUGUUAAUGUGAAACGCAGAACAGUGAAUCAUCGAAACUUUGAACGCAUCUUGCGCUCUCCGGGCUUCCGGAGAGCAUGCCUGUCUGAGUGUCGCUAAACAACCAUAGGCCGAAAGGUCUGAUUCGGAUGUGUGCCGUGGUCGGCUCCGUCUUAGAUGCAUUUGGAACGUGGCCGUCUCGCUGGCUUCUCGGAGGACAUUCGAUCGUAAUCGCUUUCGUGCGUCUCCCCUUGAGCUGCGAGGAGGCUCCCCUCCGCGGUGGCCCUCGCGGUGCCGUGGUGCUUGGAAUUCGUCUAGUGUCGUGGCCUCAGAUCAGGUAGGACUACCCGCUGAACUUAAGCAUAUCAAUAAGCGGAG